ensembl:snoRNA SNORD107 small nucleolar RNA, C/D box 107
GGUUCAUGAUGACAUAGGACCUUGUCUGAAUAAUAAUGAUUUCAAAUUUUGAGCUAAAGUGACUUUCUGAAAUC